AUUGAACGCUGGCGGCAUGCCUUACACAUGCAAGUCGAACGGCAGCGGGGACUUCGGUCCGCCGGCGAGUGGCGAACGGGUGAGUAAUGUAUCGGAACGUACAUUUCAGUGGGGGAUAACGUAGCGAAAGUUACGCUAAUACCGCAUAUUCUCUGAGGAGGAAAGCAGGGGACCUUCGGGCCUUGCGCUGAUGGAGCGGCCGAUAUCAGAUUAGCUAGUUGGUGGGGUAAAGGCUCACCAAGGCUACGAUCUGUAGCGGGUCUGAGAGGAUGAUCCGCGACACGGGGACUGAGACACGGCCCAGACUCCUACGGGAGGCGGCAGUGGGGAAUUUUGGACAAUGGGCGAAAGCCUGAUCCAGCCAUGCCGCGUGAGUGAAGAAGGCCUUCGAGUUGUAAAGCUCUUUCGGACGGUAAGAAAUCAUGAGGGCUAAUAUCCCUUGUGGAUGACGGUACCGUAAUAAGAAGCACCGGCUAACUACGUGCCAGCAGCCGCAGUAA
rnacentral:rRNA from 1 species